rnacentral:rRNA from 1 species
UACGGAGGGGGCUAGCGUUGUUCGGAAUUACUGGGCGUAAAGCGCGCGUAGGCGGACCUGCAAGUCGGGGGUGAAAGCCCGAGGCUCAACCUCGGAAUUGCCUUCGAUACUGCGGGUCUCGAGUCCGGGAGAGGUGAGUGGAAUUCCUAGUGUAGAGGUGAAAUCGUAGAUAUUAGGAAGAACACCAGUGGCGAAGGCGGCUCACUGGCCCGGUACUGACGCUGAGGCGCGAAAGCGUGGGGAGCAAACAGGG